rnacentral:lncRNA from 10 species
CUUGAUAGAGUACAGUGUACGUGCCCCAACAAGGACUUUGGAUUUCAUUCUUUUCUUUCUUUCUUUUUUUUUUUUUUUUUUUUUGAGGCAGAGUCUCUCUCUGUCACCCAGGCUGGAGUGCAGUGGCAUGAUCUCGGCUCACUGUAACCUCCGUCUUCCGGGUUCAAGUGAUUCUCCUGCCUCAGCCUCCCAAGUAGCUGGGAUUACAGGCAUGCACUACCAUGCCCGGCUAAUUUUUUGUAUUUGUAAUAGAGACAGGGUUUUGCCAUGUUGGCCAAGCUGGUCUUGAACUCCUGACCUCAGGUGAUUCGCCCACCUCAGCCUCCCAAAGUACUGGGAUAACAGGCGUAAGCCAGUGCGCCCAGCCUGGAUUUCGUUCUGAGAGGGAUGAGACGUCAUUGGAGGAUGGAGAGGAGGAGAAUCUUACUGUGGCUGUCAUUGGGACCACACUGGAAGAAGGUGGUGGAACGGGAAUCCCCUGUGGAAAAAUGACUUUUGUUGUUGUUGUUGUUGUUGAGACAGAGUCUCGCUCCAUCACCUAGGCUGGAGUGCAGGGGCGCAAUCUCAGCUCACUGCAACCUCUGCCUCCCAGGUUCAAGCGAUUCUCCUGCCUCAGCCUCCUCAGUAGCUGGGACUACAGGCACCUACCACCACACCUGGCUAAUUAAGGUAUUUUUGGUAGAGGCAGGGUUUCUCCAUGUUGGCCAGGCUGGUCUUGAACUCCUGACCUCAAGCAAUCUGCCUGCCUUGGCCUCCCAAAAUGCAGGGAAAUACAGGCGUGAGACACUGCGCCCUGCCAAGAACUUUCAUUAUCAAAGGAAAUGCAGCAAAGGAGCUUCUUCCUCCCACCAAGCCAGUGACGGGUCUGUAUUCAAUGAAGUUGUCAUUCAAACCAGGACUGGGAAGCAACUGAUCUGUACCUUACCAUCAUAGGAAGCUCACCCCGUAGCACAGGGGAAACACUAGGAGGGCUGCAGGUUUGGAGUCUGUAGACUGUGCCACUUGGCUGCGUUUCCUUUCUUAGUCACUUAAUCAGUCUGAAGCUUAGGGUCCUCCUUAUAAUGUGAGGAUAUUAAUAGUUUCUCCUUUCCUGGGAUUUAUGUGAAGAUCAAGUGAGUAACAAAUGUGAUAAUACUUUAUUAACUGUUAAUCACACUACAAAUCUAAGGGUUUAUUACUGUGAUUUCUUUGUCUCACCUUUCCAUUCUCUUGCCUUGAAGGUUUUUUUUUCUUUUCUUUGAGACAGAGUUUCGCUCUUACUGCCCAGGCUGGAGUGCAAUGGCACGAUCUCGGCUCACUGCAACAUCCACCUCCUGAGUUGAAGCGAUUCUCCUGCCUCAGCCUCCCGAAUAGCUGGUAUUGCAGGCGCCCGGCUAAUUUUUGUAUUUUUUAGUAGAGACAGAGUUUCUCCAUGUUGGCCAGGCUGGUCUUGAACUCCUGACUUUGUUAUCCGCCCACCUCAGUCUCCCAAAGUGUUGGGAUUACAGGCGUGAGCCACCACGCUCGGCCUUUUUAAUACAUAUUUAUUUAUUUAUUUAUUUAUUUAUUUAUUUAUUUAUUUAUUCUUGCCUUGAAGGUCUUUAAACAUUCAUUCAUGGCCAGGUGCGGUGGCUGAUGCCUGUAAUCCCAGCACUUUGGGAGGCCGAGGCAGGUGGAUCACCUAAGGUCGGGAGUUCGAGACCAGCCUGACCAACAUGGAGAAACCCUGUCUCUACUAAAAAUAUACACAAAAAAUUAGCUGGAUGUGGUGGCG